rnacentral:misc_RNA from 1 species
CAAAAUAUAUGGUAUGACUAUGUACUAAAUACAUGAAUUAAAUACAUGAAUUUUAUAUAUUUAUGAUUUUAAUUUAUCAUUAAUUAGAACUAUGAAAAAAAAUCAUAAAUUAUAUAUCCACGACCUAUAUGCUAAUAGCUCACAGUGUAACAAUUGUAUGAUUAAAAAACAUAACAAAGACAAUCUUCGGUUAGCUAAGGCUUAAUGUAGUAUAAUCAUGGCUAUAUAUUUGCUAAAUUCGAGUUUUAUUAGAGACUGGGUAUGGGAGAGUUGAGUUGUAAUGAUUGAAUGAGAUCAGAGUCUGGCAAGUUGAGAGGAGGUAGAGAGAAAUGACUAUAAGUAGAGCUGCCGCUUCUAAUUUCUUGCAUGGUCAAUAGAGCUGCAACAGUGUGCCUAAAAAUUCCCUCUCCUGCUAUUGUUAUAGCUUCUCUUCCUUCUCUUGCUCUUUCUUUUUCCUCCACAGGAAACACAGCAUCUAUGGUGUUUUCGCAUUCCUUGACAAGCUUAGAAAUAAGAUCAGUUGUAAAAAAGGGUUGUUGCAGCACUUUCUGAAUGAAUGGCAAGCGCAAUAAUCCUCCAGUUCUCUUGUCAUACUUCUUCAGUAUCUUGGCUAAUCCUGUGUAAUUGAUAUUGCUGUAGUUUUCUAGAAGCACCAUUUCGCCAUGGAAAUUGACAAUAUCUUUUCUAAUCUUGCACAUCUCUUUUUUAUACUCUGCUUCUGAAGGCUGACUUCCGUUUGGCCCCCAGGCAUCAAUCACAUUCUGAAUCCUCUGCUGCAAUUCCUUAUGUCGGAUGAUGAAGUCCUCCUCUUGUUCCAUGAAAAAAGUAUUGAACUUGUCGAUCUCAUUGUUCAGCGAGUACACAAACUCAGCCUCUGCUUUUCCAUACUCGAUUGAUCCACUUAACAACAGCGGAGCCGAAGAAAGUAACCGUACAAGUUUCUUCAAUUCUUUAUACGACAAGAACUUGUCGCGCCAAUCCGGCAACGUUUCUUGUAUUUGUUGCUUCAAUCUCUUGCCAAACUUCAUUUGCAACUCUACUUUAAAAAAUUAACCAAAUAAAAAUGAAGAGUUAGCCCAAGAAUUG